rnacentral:rRNA from 1 species
CUCAAAUCAGGYAGGACUACCCGCUGAACUUAAGCAUAUCAAUAAGCGGAGGAAAAGAAACUAACAAGGAUUCCCCUAGUAACUGCGAGUGAAGCGGGAAAAGCUCAAAUUUAAAAUCUGGCGGUCUCUGGCCGUCCGAGUUGUAGUCUGGAGAAGUGCUUUCCGCGCUGGAC